rnacentral:lncRNA from 1 species
CGCAGGCUCAAGGUCCCAGGCCUCGUCAACCAUCUGGCAUGCCUAACCGUCAACCAUCUAAUAAAGCACAACCAGCACAACUGGAGGACGAAGAACCACCUUCUCCGACAUCUAGCACGUCUUCGACUCAACACCAAAAGGAAGUGGCUGAAGAGGUGGGACCUUUGAAGGUGCCUUCACAGGUGGGACCUUCAAAGGUGCCUCCGCAGGUGGGACCUUCAAAGGCGCCUUCGCAGGUGUCUAAACCAGC